CCCAUGCCGAACUCAGAAGUGAAACGCGGUAGCGCCGAUGGUAGUGUGGCAUUCGCCAUGCGAGAGUAGGACACUGCCAGGC
rnacentral:rRNA from 1 species